CUGGGUUCGUCUGUGGCGUAGGGAGGCUGCUUUCUGGCCACCGGCGGGGCGGGCGACAACAGCGUUUCAGUAGGCAGGCUGGCUGGUGUGUCGGGGUUCAGGGAAUAUGGCGGGGAACCGGCGUAGAGGUAUACGAGCUCUUCGAAAGCAGACUGUCAUUGCUUCCGUGUUCUGAUCAUUCAGAGAUUAGGAGAUACAGUUCCUGCCUUUGGUUUACAUACAGCCAUGUGGAGCAGACACAGGUCAAUAGUUGCUGUAUGCCACUAAAAAAGAGAUUUAUCAGCAGGUUGCAGGUGAACAUGGCCUUGAGGUAAAUCCUGCCCCUUGUUGAAAUUCAGUUUCAGCAGAUUAUUCAUGAUAUUUUGGGAACUGGAAUAUUUCACAGAAAAAAAAAAUGUUUUGUUUGGUUCUGUUCUAGACUUGUUUUUUCUUCUUGUAGAAGAAACAUGUUUAAACAAAAGUUCUUUAUGCUGAAUAAUUGUGAUGCUUUUAGCUGGUCAUCUGUCUUAUUUAAAUUAAAUAGAUUUUAAAUGCCAAUGUUCAGUGCCAAUUCUGCAUGAUUUUUCUUGGUCAAAUAAAAAUUUCACUCAAACCUUAUAGGUGUCGAGU
rnacentral:lncRNA from 1 species